AUGGCCUGGGCUCUGUUUCUCCUCACUCUCCUCACCCAGGCCACAGGUUCUUGGACCCAACAUGCCCUAACUCAGCCUUCCUCCAAGUCUGAGGUUCUGGGAUGGACGGUCACCAACUCCUGUGAUGGAAGCAGCAAUGUCAUUGGCUACCUUGAAUAUGGUGUCUCCUGGUACCAGCAACGCCCAGGAACAGCUCCUAAACUUUUGAUUUAUGAUACAACUUCUCGGCCCUCAGACAUCCCUGAUCGCUUCUCUGCAUCUAAAUCUGAUAACACAGCGACCCUGACUAUCUCUGGGCUCAAGCCUGAGGACGAAUCUGAUUAUUACUGUUGCUCAAAUACAAGAAGUAGCACUUUCCACAGUGGCUGCUGUACACAGGGAAGUGAGGUUCUCAACCUCCGCAGUUUGCUACACUUCUGA